AUGUACAUGGGUUAGCAGUGAAAAACCAGUUCAGCUACAUAUGGUGGUAGACAAAGAGAAGACAUUGCAGUUAUAUAUGGUGGUAGCAAGUGACAACUUAUGUACAUGGGUAAGCAGUGAAAAAGACAGUUCAGCUACAUAUGGUGGUAAGCAGAGAGAAGACAAUGCAGUUAUAUAUGGUGGUAGCAAGUGACAAGUAAUGUAGAAAUGUUAUCAAAUGCAUUAUGAAAUCUGGACCUUAAAACCUUAUUCUUCUACUGAAAAGUUCUUUCUUUGUGCGGAGUGGGGGCUUCGCAUGAGGAUAGAUACCUUUUUGUAGUUUGGCUAAAGAAGUGUAAAGCAAUACAUUGUUGUACACUUCUAAACUGUUCCGGAUUGAAUUUUGUGUUUGGCAACAGUCUGCAUUCCUACACCAGUGAGAAGAUGUUUCAGUUAUACAUGGUGGUAGCAAGUGACAAGAUAUUUCAGUUAUGCACGGCGGUAGCAUGUGAAAAGAUAUUUCAGUUAUGCACAUGGGUAACAAGUGAAAAUGUAUCAUAGGUAUAUGCUUGAUGCUAACCUGUGCAAAUAUAUUUCAGUUAUGUAUGGUGGUAACCGUCGAAAAGAUAUUUCAGCUACAUAUGGUGGUAACCUGGGAGAAGAAAGAAGGUCCAGUUGCAUAUGGUGGUAAAGAGUGAAAAGACAAUUCAAUUAUGUAUGGUGGUAACCGUCGAAAAGAUAUUUCAGCUACAUAUGGUGGUAACCUGGGAGAAGAAAGAAGGUCCAGUUGCAUAUGGUGGUAAAGAGUGAAAAGACAAUUCAAUUAUGUAUGGUGGUAACCGUCGAAAAGAUAUUUCAGCUACAUAUGGUGGUAACCUGGGAGAAGAAAGAAGGUCCAGUUGCAUAUGGUGGUAAAGAGUGAAAAGACAAUUCAAGUAUGUAUGGUGGUAAUGGUAACCAGUGGAAAGGUAUUUUAUUUAUGUAUGGUAGUAGCAAGUGACAAUGUAUUUCAGUUAUGUACACGGAGAACUAGUGAAAAGAUAGUUCAGCUAUAUAUGGUGGUAAGCAGAGAGAAGAUGCUGCACUUAUGUACGGUGGUAGCAAGUGACAAAUUGUGUACAUGGGUGAGCAAUGAAGAAGACAGUUCAGCUACAUAUGGUGGUAAGCAGAGUGAAGAUAUUGCAGUUAUAUAUGGUGGUAGCAAGUGACAAGUUAUGUACAUGGGUAAGCAGAGAAAAAAACAGUUCAGCUACAUAUGGUGGUAAGCAGAGAGAAGACAUUGCAGUUAUAUA